rnacentral:rRNA from 1 species
UACGUAGGUGGCAAGCGUUGUCCGGAAUUAUUGGGCGUAAAGCGCGCGCAGGCGGUCCUUUAAGUCUGAUGUGAAAGCCCACGGCUCAACCGUGGAGGGUCAUUGGAAACUGGGGGACUUGAGUGCAGGAGAGAAGAGUGGAAUUCCACGUGUAGCGGUGAAAUGCGUAGAGAUGUGGAGGAACACCAGUGGCGAAGGCGACUCUUUGGCCUGUAGCUGACGCUGAGGCGCGAAAGCGUGGGGAGCGAACAGG